GACGAACGCUGGCGGCGUGCCUAAUACAUGCAAGUAGAACGCUGAAGAGAGGAGCUUGCUCUUCUUGGAUGAGUUGCGAACGGGUGAGUAACGCGUAGGUAACCUGCCUUGUAGCGGGGGAUAACUAUUGGAAACGAUAGCUAAUACCGCAUAACAAUGGAUGACACAUGUCAUUUAUUUGAAAGGGGCAAUUGCUCCACUACAAGAUGGACCUGCGUUGUAUUAGCUAGUAGGUGAGGUAACGGCUCACCUAGGCGACGAUACAUAGCCGACCUGAGAGGGUGAUCGGCCACACUGGGACUGAGACACGGCCCAGACUCCUACGGGAGGCAGCAGUAGGGAAUCUUCGGCAAUGGGGGCAACCCUGACCGAGCAACGCCGCGUGAGUGAAGAAGGUUUUCGGAUCGUAGAGCUCUGUUGUAAGUCAAGAACGAGUGUGAGAGUGGAAAGUUCACACUGUGACGGUAGCUUACCAGAAAGGGACGGCUAACUACGUG
rnacentral:rRNA from 1 species